rnacentral:lncRNA from 1 species
UUUAGAACCAUUUUUUUAGUGGUUUCAACAUUAUAUUAAUUAUCUCGAAUGUCUUUAAAACUCAAUAACAUUCUUCCAGAACGUGGAGAAUAGAGAGCCUCUUUAAUGGUUAAGACAGUACCAUUAUACGACAUUAUACGGGUCUUUCCGUAUCCUUCAAUCAGGUUGGAUGAGCAUGAGAGGGUUGUCAGAGGUGCUUUCUUAGGUACGAAGUUAGUAAAAUAGUGUCGCUCACACAAUAUGGUAUGUGUAGUAGCACUAUUAGCCAGACAACUAACUUCCUCACUAGUUAUACCUAGAAAUAAAUUAAUUGAAUUGGUCACAUGCAUAAAUAUAAUUUCAUUCAUUCAAUUAAUCAAUCGAGAAAUAAUAUCCACAAAAUAAUUAUCCAUAAUUCAAAACAAACCAAAACCAAACAAUUUAUUCCAAAUACUUAGAAAAAUUGUCCAAAAAUUAAACCAUAAACCUAAAAAAUUGGAGGGGUUUCGAUCACUCCUAGUAAGUUCGGCCACUCCUAGUGGGUUCGGCCACUAGGGGUAAAAACACCUUAAAAACAUAUCUAGAAGAAUAAAACUUAUUCGUCCAUAAGAGUUGAUGCCUCUUGAAAAUCGGAUAUCUCCAUGAAUGUAGUAGCAUCUUCGGGAUGUUCCACAUUGCCAAAGUUAGACUCAUAACGGGAAUGAUAGUUGGCAAUAGCCUUAGGGGUAGCUUUGCAUACUCAUGACCAAUGAUCCUUUGAUCCAUAGCGGUAGCACAUGUCCAUUUCAGUGGAAGUCAAUUGAACGGUAGUUUUGCCCUUAUUCUUAAAGUUUGGGGCCUUAGGUGCAAGGGGUUGACGCUUCUGCAUCAAAUUUCCUCCUUUGGGUGAGCAUUGGCUCUGUUGACCUUGGGCCAUUUGGGAAUGAUAGUUGGCAAUAGCCUUAGGGGUAGCUUUGCAUACUCAUGACCAAUGAUCCUUUGAUUCAUAGCGGUAGCACAUGUCCAUUUCAGUGGAAGUCAAUUGAACGGUAGUUUUGCCCUUAUUCUUGAAGUUUGGGGCCUUAGGUGCAAGGGGUUGACGCUUCUGCAUCAAAUUUCCUCCUUUGGGUGAGCCUUGGCUCUGUUGACCUUGGGCCCUUGGGUGGGCUUGUUGUCCAUUACCAUGGCCACAAUGAUGUUUUCAUCGUUUAUGGUUGCUAGAAUUGGUCGCAUGCGCUUCAGGUGCAGCAUUUGAGUCAGGGGGUCGAGCUUGAUGAUUUUUCAUCAAAAGCUGGUUAUACUUUUCAGUGAGAAGUAAAACAAAGAUCAAAUCUAAAAAUUUGGUGAACUUUUGUGCCCUAUAUUAUUGUUGUAGGACAAUAUUGGUGGCAUGGAAGGUCGAAUAGGUAUUCUCCAAGAGAUCUGCAUCUGUUAAGCCCACUUUACAAAACUUAAACAAUGAUCGGAUUAUACAAACUUCAGAGUUGUAUUUCUUCACAAACUUAAAGUCUUGGAAGUGUAGAUGCUGCUAGUCAUGUUUUGCUUCAGGCAAGUAAAUGUCUUUCGGGUGAUCGAAACAAUCGGCCAGAGCAAGCUAGAGGAUGCAUAGGUCCUCCUUAGUGUGAUACUUGGUCUACAGUGCAUCAUUGAUGUGUCUUUAAAUAAAGAUCAUUGCAGUAGCUUUCUAAGCUUCAUCUACGAGAGUGGAGUCGGUAGGUGCCUUGAUGGUGGCUCUAAUACCCUUUACAGUAAGAUGAAGUUUCACAUCUUGAACCCACUUCAAGUAGUUUCAUCCAUAUACGUCCAGAGCGGUGAAAUCGAGCUUGUUCAAGUUUGACAUGUCCCUAAAACGAAAGGUACAACAAAAUGUUGUUAGUCAUAUGGUAAUCCAUAGACAUACAUCGUAGAACAUUCGGGUUCUAUGGACAUGUAUUGGUUUUAUUUUAACAUGAAAGCUACAGGUUUCAUGUGGUAAGUUUUGAAUGAAAACUUCGGGUUUCAAAAGCACUAAAUAUGAAACUACAUGUUCAAUUUAGUUUUAUGACCGAUUAGUUCAUAAAGGAAAGGUUCCUACAAGAACACAUAAUGCAAUAUGCUAAUUUAAGUGUAGUGGAUUUGAGUUGCUUCGGGAACUCAAGUGUGAGAGCUUCAAGACUGCGAAAUGAUGUCAACGGUUCAAAGUAGAAAAAUAAAUUAUUGAAUCGUUAAUGUUCAAAAGUGAUCUUCAGAUUAAUAAUUUUGGAUUAAUUAUCAUAUUAAUAGAUUGCAGGUCACUUUUAAUUUUGGAUUAAUUAUCGAUCGUGGAAGCAAAAUAACGACAGACGAGUCAUGUUAACUUUGGUUGGUGAUAAACCAAGUGAUAAUUAAAUUAGAUUUAAUUAGCGUAAACCAAAGUACCCAAAAAAAAAUUUGGGCAUGAUUUAUACCAAAAAUUGGCAUUGGAUAAAAAAAUAACACGGCCUAGCCAAAAGUGGGCUGGUAAUGAUGCGGGGACAGGCCUUAUAGCUAUUAGGCCUCGAGGAGGGUUGCAGGCCUAUGGGCCGUGUGGUCUGGAUCGAGGCAAGUCAAGCCCUACAACAUAAGAUGCAGGCAAGUAGGCCUAGGGGUGGCGAGGCCUAGGGUUGGUGAAGCCCAGCAAGCAACACGAGCUUGCUACAGGGGGUAUAUGGCACGAGACAAAGCCCAGCAGCAUAAGGUUGCUGGUAGGUUGGGCCGGGGACACAUAGACAGGUCCAAGAAAAGCUGCAUGCCUUCUUAGAAGUUAGGAUGGGCUGCAUGCCCGUGUAACCUUUCCAGGUUGAAGGCCUGGCGUGUCCGUGUAGGCGUAGCAAAGCCCAAAAGGCUGCUGCCAUGG